CAGUCGCCGCGGUAAUACAGAGGGUGCAAGCGUUAAUCGGAAUUACUGGGCGUAAAGCGCGCGUAGGUGGUUCGCCAAGUUGGAUGUGAAAUCCCCGGGCUCAACCUGGGAACUGCAUCCAAAACUGGCGAGCUAGAGUAUGGUAGAGGGUGGUGGAAUUUCCUGUGUAGCGGUGAAAUGCGUAGAUAUAGGAAGGAACAUCAGUGGCGAAGGCGACCACCUGGACUGAUACUGACACUGAGGUGCGAAAGCGUGGGGAGCAAACAGGAUUAGAGACCCCUGUAGUCCCUGUCUCUUAUAC
rnacentral:rRNA from 1 species